AGUGAACGCUGGCGGCAGGCCUAACACAUGCAAGUCGAACGGCAGCACGGCAGUAGCAAUACUGUGGGUGGCGAGUGGCGGACGGGUGAGGAAUACAUCGGGAUCUACCCUGUUGUGGGGGAUAACGUAGGGAAACUUACGCUAAUACCGCAUAAGAACUGAGGUUGAAAGCGGCGGACCGCAAGGCGUCGCGCGAUUGGAUGAACCGAUGUCCGAUUAGCUAGUUGCGGGUAAAGGCCCACAAGGCGACGAUCGGUAGCUGGUCUGAGAGGACGACCAGCCACACUGGAACUGAGACACGGUCCAGACCUCGUACGGGA
rnacentral:rRNA from 1 species